GGGGGCACCCUGACGCAGCCACGCCGCGUGCUGGAAGACGGCCCUAUGGGUUGUAAACAGCUUUUGGUCGGGAAGAACCCGGGGGUUUCGAUCCCCGCUGACGGUACCGAUUGAAUAAGCACCGGCUAACUCCGUGCCAGCAGCCGCGGUAAUACGGAGGGUGCAAGCGUUGUCCGGAAUUAUUGGGUGUAAAGGGUGUGCAGGCGGAAGUCUAAGUCGGAGGUGAAAUCUUGCCGCUUAACGGUAAAAGGGCCUUCGAUACUGGAUUUCUUGAGUUCGGAAGAGGUUGGUGGAAUUCGUGGUGUAGCGGUGAAAUGCAUAGAUAUCACGAAGAACACCGGUGGCGAAGGCGGCCAACUGGUCCGACACUGACGCUGAGACACGAAAGCGUGGGGAGCGAACAGGAUUAGAUACCCUGGUAGUCCACGCUGUAAACGAUGCAUGCUAGUUGUUGCCCUUUUGGGGGCAGUGACGCAGUUAACGCAGUAAGCAUGCCACCUGGGGAGUACGUUCGCAAGAAUGAAACUCAAAUGAAUUGACGGGGAAUCGAAUUCCCGCGGCCGCCAUGGCGGCCGGGAGCAUGCGACGUCGGGCCCAAUUCGCCCUAWGUGGNRNNUCGUAUUAA
rnacentral:rRNA from 1 species